UCUGGAGCCCACACCCAACAUGGUUGGUGACUGGGAGACAGAAAAGGAUAGAAAAAAAAAAGGCUCAGGAAGACAACAAUUCAAGUCCUACCCUUGUGUGUGCAUCUCAAGGCUGUGUUCUUUUAAAGAAGGAGAAUUCUUUGAAUUUCUUAAAUCCGAUGUGAUGGUGAACUGCAGGCUUCGGUUUUCAUCAUGCUGAGUCCUAACAUUUGUGACUACUUCCCCCGGGGUGGCCAUGUGAAGCAUCUUAUGCGCAUGAGCCUAUUUUAUCCUCCCAACAAUAUUAGGAGGUAUCCUCGGUCCGUUUUACAGAUGCUGAAGAUGACCCAGGUUGAUACAGUUAAGCAGCCUAGGGACUCCACGUACCCCAGCUGGGUCUCAUUGUUCCAGAACUGCAUUAGUUAAGAUUACCCAGACUUGGAUUUCAAAGGAAUACUUUCAUUGUUCCGUCUGUAACACGAAGUAAUUGGGGCCAGCUGGAUGUCAGGAUGCGUGUGGUUACCAUUGUAAUCUUGCUCUGCUUUUGCAAAGCGGCUGAGCUGCGCAAAGCAAGCCCAGGCAGUGUGAGAAGCCGAGUGAAUCAUGGCCGGGCGGGUGGAGGCCGGAGAGGCUCCAACCCGGUCAAACGCUACGCACCAGGCCUCCCGUGUGACGUGUACACAUAUCUCCAUGAGAAAUACUUAGAUUGUCAAGAAAGAAAAUUAGUUUAUGUGCUGCCUGGUUGGCCUCAGGAUUUGCUGCACAUGCUGCUAGCAAGAAACAAGAUCCGCACAUUGAAGAACAACAUGUUUUCCAAGUUUA
rnacentral:lncRNA from 10 species